UCUAAGUCCUGCAAAGUACUGCAGAACCGCUGGAGGAGGAGGAGGAGGCCUUUCCUGUUUCUUGCUUGAGGCUCCCAAGUUUGUUGCCCUGAGGAAGAGUCAUGUCGCUGUGCCCGGUUCCUGCAGCUGGCCAAGACAGACUUCAGACACUCGUGCAGCAGGUGCAAAUGUACAUGAAAGAGGAAGUGACAGGGAUGGGGAGGAGUUCAAGGAACUGAAGUCACCUUCUUCAAGAGCCUGGUAAACAACAGCAUCAGGACCCCCCAUUACCUUUUGCAUUCUUUGAAGGAAACGAUUACAGAAGUCCUGUACACGCUCAAUGGAGAUUUCAUCCAGAGUCAACACGUCAUGCUCAUCAUCUGGUGUGUGGAAU